rnacentral:pre_miRNA from 1 species
AAACCGUUACCAUUACUUGUUUAAGUACUGGUAAGGGUUAUA